AGUAAUAUAGCCUUCUCUUUUCUCCUAGUGGCUUGGACAUCCAGAAAACACAGAUUGUCAGAAUGCUGCCCAACUGAAAGUAAUUCAGUCUACAUUAUUUUCAUAAAAAUAAAGCUCCAGUGUAAACCUCUCAUAAAUGCACAACUCCCACAUCUGAAGAUGGAGACAAGGAUGCACCCUCUUGGAUAAUAUAGACAGAGGUAGCUUGUACAGUUGUUAGAGCACAGAACUACCUUCUAAGGAGAAGAUACUCAGUUCCUGAGUUAGAGCUUAUGUAAAUCUGGGGUUCAUUCAGAUACCCAAUGGAACUCUCUUUCUCAAUAAAAACCUCUCACAACAUAACUGUCUGUUAGCA
rnacentral:lncRNA from 1 species